rnacentral:rRNA from 1 species
GACGAACGCUGGCGGCGUGCUGAACACAUGCAAGUCGAGCGGAGCGGCGAACGGGUGAGUAACGCGUGAGUAACUGCCCCCCUCUCUGUGAUAACAGUUGGAAACGGCUGCCAAUACCGGAUAGUGGGGGAUGACUCGCGUCCUAUCAGCUUGUUGGUGGGGUAGUGGCCUACCAAGGCGACGACGGGUAGCCGGCAUUAGAGGGCGAGCGGCCACAAUGGGCUGGGAUACGGCCCAAUAUCGUAAGGGAGGCAGCAGUGGGGAAUAAUGCACAGUAGGGGAAACGCUGAUGCAGCAACGCCGCGUGCGAGAUGACGGACUUCAGGUUGUAAACCGCUUUCAGCCAUGACGCGGUAGUGUCAGAAGAGGCACCGGCUAACUACGUGCCAGCAGCCGCGGUAAUAC